AGAACGAACGCUGGCGGCAGGCCUAAAACAUGCAAGUCGAACGCUCUAGCAAUAGAGAGUGGCGCACGGGUGCGUAACAUGUGGGAAUAUGCCUUUUGGUACGGAACAACUUUUGGAAACGAAAGCUAAUACCGUAUGGUCCCUUCGGGGUAAAGAUUUAUCGCCAAAAGAGUAGCCCGCACUGGAUUAGCUAGUUGGUAAGGUAAUGGCUUACCAAGGCGACGAUCCAUAGCUGGUCUGAGAGGACGAUCAGCCACACUGGGACUGAGACACGGCCCAGACUCCUACGGGAGGCAGCAGUUAGGAAUCUUGGACAAUGGGCGCAAGCCUGAUCCAGCCAUGCCGCGUGAGUGAUGAAGGCCUUCGGGUUGUAAAGCUCUUUAGUCCACGAAUAUAAUGGCUGUAGUGGAAGAAUAAGCCCGGCUAACUUCGCGCCAGCAGCCGC
rnacentral:rRNA from 1 species